UACGAAGGGGGCUAGCGUUGUUCGGAAUUACUGGGCGUAAAGGGCGCGUAGGCGGUUUCUUAAGUUUGGAGUGACAGUGGGUGGCUUAACUACCCAAGGCCUCUGAAAACUGGGGAACUUGAGGACCAGAGAGGGACAUAGAAUUCCGGGUGGAGUGGUGAAAUGCGUAGAUAUCCGGAGGAAUACCAAAGGCGAAGGCAGUGUCCUGGAGGGUGACUGACGCUGAGGCGCGAAAGCUAGGGGAGCGAACAGG
rnacentral:rRNA from 1 species